UAGGAGUCUCGUACAACAAAAAUAAAUGGUCUAUAAUUAUUUUACAGGGCUCCUUUAGCUCAGGAAGCACUUAUUCUGGGAAACCGAAUCCACAUUCCUCGGGCGGCAGUCAAGUGAGCUCUGCUGGGAAACAUUCCACUCCCCGACUCCUGCUGUUAUUCAGUGUUUUGAGUGCCUUUGCUCUCUCUGCUGCUACAUCAAAAUGGUCUAUAUGAACUUCUGAAGAGUUGCUUGGCAUCCUAGACAUGGAUUAUAUUCAGUAAUAUUAGGUUAAUUACUUGAUGUAAGAAAAAAAAAACCACCCUUAAGUCAAAUUGGCAGAUGCUACUUGGCUGUUAUGUUGUAUUUCUAGCUAGUAUGUCAUGCCUCUCAUUAGUUUACCUUUGGUUUUAGUCAUUAGUAGAUAUCAUUAGUUUUGCCAGUGUUUUAGGCCCCAUUUUAAGAGAGCAUAUUGUACCCUACCUAUAUGACUUUUUCUAUUUCCAAUGGGGAAUGCGAUGAACACCUACCUGAAAUCUGAUUGGUGCAACAAACAAAUACUUGGAAAAUAUUUGGUUGUUAACCAAAGCGGAGGAGGUAAAAAAAAAAUUGUUGUAUAUGCAAACUGAGCACCGUGCCUGGGCGUCAUCGCAUAAAAUAAGGCUAAUGUAAACAUCUGAUAAGCAGUCCUCCAUGGGACAGAAGAAAAGAUGCUGAAAUACUAUCAGAGUACUGGUUUUAGUCUAUUGUAAUCAAAUGCAAGUUCAAUAUGGAGGUUGCAAAGCACAAAAAAUACUCCAUGGGACUGAAAUUUUUUGGGGUUAAUUAAAGUUUAUUCAUUAGAGAAGCCAAACAGCUCAGAGCAAAGAAAUGCUAAACUCUGUUCAAACUGAUUGCAAAUACCUAGAGUUCUGUAGAGAAGCAUGUGAGGCAGCGCACCCCAGAUUAGGCUGAUAGUCUAAAACCUGCUGAAAAACAAUGCAUUUUCCCUUGGGAAGGAAUGGAAAUUUAAUUAAGUUCAUAAAGCUGAUAGUAUCUUGGCUCCUUUUCUCAAGUAUUUAGUCUAACCUGUGAUACCCAAUAUACCUGAAAUUUUAAUUUCAAGAACCAUACUGACAUCUGCAAGCAGGUACAGUAAAUGUGGUCACAGAAGAGACCACAGCCCAUUUUUGAGUUCAGGAGCAGUUCCACAUCUCGCAGGAAAUUCUUUUGGAGCUGCCAGAGCCGCCUUCUGUUUGUGCAGUGACCCAUUGCUCUGGCACCUUGUUAGCAGCGGUGUGGCCAUUGCACUGCCGCUCCUACAGCUCCUGCAUCCGCGCUAGCUGAGGGCUAAGCUUCUUCGGUGUUGACAAAGUGCAUUCUCCUAAAGCAUACGUCUAAUUAAUGUCUUAUUGAGCAUGUGCCUAGUAUUAAAAUUACAUGUGUCAGUGGUAUGCUUGUUUCCCAUGGUUUACAAUUGUAAUUGAUGAAAUAUAUUUCCAUUCAAGUUCUGCUACCAACUUCAGCGGGGCCAGGAUUUCACCUGUUUUUGAUAUGCUGUGCAGGACACAUUAUCCUUUGCCAACCAUCAGUAAAUCAACCUAAGUAUCUGAAGCUGUAAUUGAAGCAUAAAGGAGUUUUGCCUAAAUACGAUCUUCAAAAUUUGGUGGACAAUUUCUUUCUUUGGAACACGCGAUAAGGUUCUCUCCGAGAGGUCCGUAUCUUAAUUCGAACUAGCCUUGCGCUUAAUAAAUUUGUCAUGGAUUU